UACAGUGGUCUCAAGCGUUGUUCGGAUUCAUUGGGCGUAAAGGGUGCGUAGGUGGCGGGGUAAGUCAGGUGUGAAAUCUCGAGGCUCAACCUCGAAACUGCACUUGAUACUGCCUUGCUCGAGUACUGGAGAGGAGAUUGGAAUUUACGGUGUAGCAGUGAAAUGCGUAGAUAUCGUAAGGAAGACCAGUGGCGAAGGCGAAUCUCUGGACAGUUACUGACACUGAGGCACGAAGGCCAGGGGAGCAAACGGG
rnacentral:rRNA from 1 species